rnacentral:lncRNA from 10 species
GGUCCACCCUGCUGGGCAACCUAGAAAGGGAGGUGCCAGAACCCUUGGGUUCCAGGGGAGAAAGCAGGCCAGAGACCUCCUGGGGCCCUCUCGCUGGGCAAUGGAACUCCAAGGGGCUUUGCCUCGCUGCGAAGUGCCUCUUCCUGGGCCUGCGGGAGGUGAGGUGGUCUUGGCCCCUGCCAGGACCCACCCUAGGGAGCGCCCCCCAGUCAGUGAGGUGGGGUGCUGGAGACCUGGCCCGACAUCAUCCCUCUUCCUCAGCGGGAAGCUCUCUUGAGCUAACUGGGGCUGGUGCUUAGCCUGGAAGCAGAUUGCUAGCGUGCUCCUGAGUCUCUGCACAAGGCCAGGGGACAUGCUGCUGGCUGCUGUUAUCCCAGAGCCCCAGGGGCACAUCAAGGGAGGUGACUAAGCUGGGCCCUGAACUGGGCCUGUCUCACCUCAUGAGCCAUCCUCACCUUAACCCCACAGGACAGGACACCUCCUUCCAGGUGUGCAUAAUCCAGGCCACACACAGAAGGCUACCCCUGCUGUCCUCUGUAAACGUUUGCUGAUGCCCAGUGAACAAUGAAAUACCUCCCCCCUUGACAUUUGCUUACCUUCCCUGGGAAACACAUCCUAGUCCAGCCCCCUCUAGAGCUCAGGGCAUACCUUGCCUCCUCCAGAAACCCUUCCUCACUCAUCUUCCAGGGAAGGUACUGG